rnacentral:rRNA from 1 species
AGUGAACGCUGGCGGUAGGCCUAACACAUGCAAGUCGAACGGCAGCACAGUAAGAGCUUGCUCUUACGGGUGGCGAGUGGCGGACGGGUGAGGAAUACAUCGGAAUCUACUUUUUCGUGGGGGAUAACGUAGGGAAACUUACGCUAAUACCGCAUACGACCUACGGGUGAAAGCAGGGGAUCUUCGGACCUUGCGCGAUUGAAUGAGCCGAUGUCGGAUUAGCUAGUUGGCGGGGUAAAGGCCCACCAAGGCGACGAACCGUAGCUGGUCUGAGAGGAUGAUCAGCCACACUGGAACUGAGACACGGUCCAGACUCCUACGGGAGGCAGCAGUGGGGAAUAUUGGACAAUGGGCGAAAGCCUGAUCCAGCAAUACCGCGUGAGUGAAGAAGGUCUUCGGGUUGUAAAGCCCUUUUGUUGGGAAAGAAAAGCAGCAGGUUAAUACCCCGCUGUUCUGACGGUACCCAAAGAAUAAGCACCGGCUAACUUCGUG